GCAGGACAAUAGCCCUCCAGGAGCAGAGCAGGACAAGAAACUAGAGAGAGGCCUUGGCAAGUUUUACACUUAGAUAUAAGCCCCUUCAGACGGACAGCUCCAGUGCAUUAUUGCAGUAAUCGAUCAGGGCUUCGGCACACGCAUGAAAGGCCCAUUCAUUGCUCCUGGACCACCCGCUGUCGCUCACACGUCACAACAACCCACCUCUCAGCGUUUUAAGAACUGAAAAACAAUCAUGUCCAUGCUAUGUGAACACGCACGAUGGAAAUGGAGUGGGAGGGCUGGGGAGCUGGAUAAGAUGGAAGUGGCUGAGAGAAGACAAAAAUAAAACCCAAUUUCAACAAUAGCUCAAACCCCUGCCUCUGUGUCUACAGGAGAACGAACUAGCGCACCAUCAGCAAGUCCAGGAAUUUUGUCU